GAUAACGUUACGAAUACAUUUUCGC
rnacentral:sRNA from 1 species